CUGCCAGUAGUCAUAUGCUUGUCUCAAAGAUUAAGCCAUGCAAGUCUGAGUAUAAUUGUUUUUACGGUGAAACUGCGAAUGGCUCAUUAAAUCAGUUAUAGUUUAUUUGAUGCUAUAGACCGCAAGGUCACUACAUGGAUAUCUGUAGUAACAUAGAGCUAAUACAUGCAAUAUAGUCUGACUUUUUGGAAGGACUAGCACUUAUUAGAUAUUAAACCAGUCCCAGCAAUGGGUUUUUGGUGAUUCAUAGUAACUGAACAAAUCACAUGGUCUUGUACCGGUGAUGUUUCAUUCAAAUUUCUGCCCUAUCAACUAGAUGGUAGUAUAUAGGGACGUACCAUGGUUGUAACGGGUAACGGAGGAUUAGGGUUUGGAUUCCGGAGAAGGAGCAUGAGAAACGGCUACUAUUUCUAAGGAAAGCAGCAGGCGC
rnacentral:rRNA from 1 species